rnacentral:rRNA from 1 species
GAUGAACGCUAGCUACAGGCUUAACACAUGCAAGUCGCGGGGCAGCAUGGGGGUUGCUUGCCAUCCCCGAUGGCGACCGGCGCACGGGUGAGUAACGCGUAUCCAACCUGCCCUUCACCACGGGAUAACCCGGCGAAAGUCGGACUAAUACCGUAUGUUGUCCAUUGACGGCAUCCGAUUUGGACGAAAGGCUUGGCGGUGAGGGAUGGGGAUGCGUCCGAUUAGCCAGACGGCGGGGUGACGGCCCACCGUGGCUACGAUCGGUAGGGGUUCUGAGAGGAAGGUCCCCCACACUGGAACUGAGACACGGUCCAGACUCCUACGGGAGGCAGCAGUGAGGAAUAUUGGUCAAUGGGCGUAAGCCUGAACCCGCCAAGUAGCGUGCAGGAUGACGGCCCUAUGGGUUGUAAACUGCUUUUAUGCGGGGAUAAAGUGGCCCACGUGUGGGCUUUUGCAGGUACCGCAUGAAUAAGAACCGGCUAAUUCCGUG